rnacentral:rRNA from 1 species
UACGGAGGGGGCUAGCGUUGUUCGGAAUUACUGGGCGUAAAGCGUGCGCAGGCGGUUUUGUAAGCCAGAUGUGAAAUCCCCGGGCUUAACCUGGGAAUGGCAUUUGGGACUGCAAGGCUCGAGUGCGGCAGAGGAGACUGGAAUUCCUGGUGUAGCAGUGAAAUGCGUAGAUAUCAGGAGGAACACCGAUGGCGAAGGCAGGUCUCUGGGCUGACACUGACGCUCAUGCACGAAAGCGUGGGGAGCAAACAGG